rnacentral:rRNA from 1 species
AUACGGGCCAGACUCCUACGGGAGGCAGCAGUAGGGAAUAUUGGUCAAUGGGCGCAAGCCUGAACCAGCCAUGCCGCGUGCAGGACGAAGGCUUUCUGAGUUGUAAACUGCUUUUGUACAGGAACAAAAAAGCCUCUGCGGAGGUUCUUGAGGGUACUGUAAGAAUAAGCACCGGCUAAUUCCGUGCCAGCA